rnacentral:rRNA from 1 species
UACGAAGGGGGCUAGCGUUGCUCGGAAUCACUGGGCGUAAAGCGCACGUAGGCGGAUCUUUAAGUCAGGGGUGAAAUCCCAAGGCUCAACCUUGGAACUGCCUUUGAUACUGGGGAUCUCGAGUCCGGAAGAGGUGAGUGGAACUGCGAGUGUAGAGGUGAAAUUCGUAGAUAUUCGCAAGAACACCAGUGGCGAAGGCGGCUCACUGGUCCGGUACUGACGCUGAGGAGCGAAAGCGUGGGGAGCAAACAGG